UACGUAGGGUGCAAGCGUUGUCCGGAAUUAUUGGGCGUAAAGAGCUCGUAGGCGGUUUGUCGCGUCUGCUGUGAAAACCCGAGGCUCAACCUCGGGCCUGCAGUGGGUACGGGCAGACUAGAGUGCGGUAGGGGAGAUUGGAAUUCCUGGUGUAGCGGUGGAAUGCGCAGAUAUCGAGAGGAACACCUGCGGCGAAGGCGGGUUGCUGGGCUGACACUGACGCUGAAGCGCGAAAGCUAGGGGAGCGAACGGG
rnacentral:rRNA from 1 species